CAGUCGCCGCGGGAAUACAGAGGGUGCGAGCGUUAAUCGGAUUUACUGGGCGUAAAGCGUGCGUAGGCGGCUUCUUAAGUCGGAUGUGAAAUCCCUGAGCUUAACUUAGGAAUUGCAUUCGAUACUGGGAAGCUAGAGUAUGGGAGAGGAUGGUAGAAUUCCAGGUGUAGCGGUGAAAUGCGUAGAGAUCUGGAGGAAUACCGAUGGCGAAGGCAGCCAUCUGGCCUAAUACUGACGCUGAGGUACGAAAGCUUGGGGAGCAAACAGGAUUAGAUACCCCCGUAGUCCCUGUCUCUUAUAC
rnacentral:rRNA from 1 species